GACGAACGCUGGCGGCGUGCUUAACACAUGCAAGUCGAACGCUGAAGCUCAGCUUGCUGGGUGGAUGAGUGGCGAACGGGUGAGUAACACGUGAGUAACCUGCCCUCUUCUUUGGGAUAACGCCCGGAAACGGGUGCUAAUACUGGAUAUUCACUGAUUCUCGCAUGGGGGUUGGUGGAAAGGUUUUUUCUGGUGGGGGAUGGGCUCGCGGCCUAUCAGCUUGUUGGUGGGGUGAUGGCCUACCAAGGCUUUGACGGGUAGCCGGCCUGAGAGGGUGACCGGUCACAUUGGGACUGAGAUACGGCUCAGACUCCUACGGGAGGCAGCAGUGGGGAAUAUUGCACAAUGGGCGAAAGCCUGAUGCAGCGACGCCGCGUGAGGGAUGGAGGCCUUCGGGUUGUAAACCUCUUUCGCUCAUGGUCAAGCCGCAGCUUUGGGUUGUGGUGAGGGUAGUGGGUAAAGAAGCGCCGGCUAACUACGUG
rnacentral:rRNA from 1 species